rnacentral:rRNA from 1 species
UACCAGCACCCCGAGUGGUCGGGACGUUUAUUGGGCCUAAAGCAUCCGUAGCCGGUUCUGCAAGUCUUCCGUUAAAUCCACCUGCUUAACAGAUGGGCCGCGGAAGAUACUAUAGAGCUAGGAGGCGGGAGAGGCAAGCGGUACUCGAUGGGUAGGGGUAAAAUCCGUUGAUCCAUUGAAGACCACCAGUGGCGAAGGCGGCUUGCCAGAACGCGCUCGACGGUGAGGGAUGAAAGCUGGGGGAGCAAAGCCAGG